rnacentral:tRNA from 1 species
CAGGUCAGUGGCUGUCUCGUCCGCCUGAAAAGCGGAAGGUCGGCGGUUCGAUCCCGCCCCUGGCCA